GUCCGUGAACUGAGGGGAAAUAGUCUCCCCCUUCAGAUCCGGCGGCGGCGUUGCCGCUUAUUUACGCACAUCAAGGAG
rnacentral:ncRNA from 1 species